CCCUUUGAAUAGUGGACAGUGACCCAGAUGACCCUGAGCCUUUCCAUGGUUUUGAUGCCUCGCCCUAUACAUCAGAUGUAGAUGUUCCCUCAUCAGUUGAUACGAGUAUCACCUCUCCAGAGCCCAAAUCAGUUGAUACGAGUAGUAUCACCUCUCCCAUUCCUUCAGACUCCCAAGCACCUGCCCAUCCCACUCCAUAGCCCAGCCAC